GGAUGCGGCCAUACCAGCACUAAAGCACCGAAUCCCAUCAGAACUCCGAAGUUAAGCGUGCUUGGGCGAGAGUAGUACUAGGAUGGGUGACCUCCUGGGAAGUCCUCGUGUUGCAUUCC
rnacentral:rRNA from 2 species